rnacentral:rRNA from 1 species
CCUACGGGAGGCAGCAGUGGGGAAUAUUGCACAAUGGGGGCAACCCUGAUGCAGCGACGCCGCGUGAGUGAAUAAGUAUUUCGGUAUGUAAAGCUCUAUCAGCGGGGAAGAAAAUGACGGUACUUGACUAAGAAUCCCCGGCUAACUACUUCCCAGCAGCCCCGGUAAUACGUAGGGGGCAAGCGUUAUCGGGAUGUACUGGGGGUAAGGGGAGGGUAGACGGCGUGGCAAGUCGUAAGUGAAAGGCAGGGGCUUAACCCAUGAACUGCUUUGGAAACUGCCAUGCUAGAGUGCUGUAGAGGAAAGUGGAAUUCCUAGUGUAGCGGUGGAAUGCGUAGAUAUAAGGAAGAACACCAGUGGCGAAGGCGGAUGACUGGACGGCAACUGACGGUGAGGCACGAAAGCGUGGGGAGCAAACAGGAUUAGAUACCCGAGUAGUC